UUGCUUGAUAGUAAAGGCCACCGCUACUAUAUCAAUGCAAAUUCCCGCACUGUUUAUGAAGAUCCUAUCGGUGAACU
rnacentral:tRNA from 1 species